rnacentral:rRNA from 1 species
AUUGAACGCUGGCGGUAGGCCUAACACAUGCAAGUCGAACGGCAGCACAGUAAGAGCUUGCUCUUACGGGUGGCGAGUGGCGGACGGGUGAGGAAUACAUCGGAAUCUACUUUUUCGUGGGGGAUAACGUGGGGAAACUUACGCUAAUACCGCAUACGACCUACGGGUGAAAGCAGGGGAUCUUCGGACCUUGCGCGAUUGAAUGAGCCGAUGUCGGAUUAGCUAGUUGGCGGGGUAAAGGCCCACCAAGGCGACGAUCCGUAGCUGGUCUGAGAGGAUGAUCAGCCACACUGGAACUGAGACACGGUCCAGACUCCUACGGGAGGGAGCAGUGGGGAAUAUGGGACAAUGGGGGGAAGCAUGAUCCAGCCAUACCGAGUGGGUGAAGAAGGCCUUCGGGUCGUAAAGACCUUUUGUUGGGAAAGAAAAGCAGCAGGUUAAUACCACGCUGUUCUGACGGUACCCAAAGAAUAAGCACCGGCUAACUUCGUG